AGUGAACGCUGGCGGUAGGCCUAACACAUGCAAGUCGAACGGCAGCACAGUAAGAGCUUGCUCUUACGGGUGGCGAGUGGCGGACGGGUGAGGAAUACAUCGGAAUCUACUUUUUCGUGGGGGAUAACGUAGGGAAACUUACGCUAAUACCGCAUACGACCUACGGGUGAAAGCAGGGGAUCUUCGGACCUUGCGCGAUUGAAUGAGCCGCUGUCGGAUUAGCUAGUUGGCGGGGUAAAGGCCCACCAAGGCGACGAUCCGUAGCUGGUCUGAGAGGAUGAUCAGCCACACUGGAGCUGAGACACGGUCCAGACUCCUACGGGAGGCAGCAGUGGGGAAUAUUGGACAAUGGGCGCAAGCCUGAUCCAGCCAUACCGCGUGGGUGAAGAAGGCCUUCGGGUUGUAAAGCCCUUUUGUUGGGAAAGAAAAGCAGCAGGUUAAUACCCCGCUGUUCUGACGGUACCCAAAGAAUAAGCACCGGCUAACUUCGUG
rnacentral:rRNA from 1 species